UAGGGAAUCUUCGGCAAUGGGGGCAACCCUGACCGAGCAACGCCGCGUGAGUGAAGAAGGUUUUCGGAUCGUAAAGCUCUGUUGUAAGAGAAGAACGUGUGUGAGAGUGGAAAGUUCACACAGUGACGGUAACUUACCAGAAAGGGACGGCUAACUACGUGCCAGCAGCCGCGGUAAUACGUAGGUCCCGAGCGUUGUCCGGAUUUAUUGGGCGUAAAGCGAGCGCAGGCGGUUUAAUAAGUCUGAAGUUAAAGGCAGUGGCUUAACCAUUGUUCGCUUUGCAAACUGUUAAACUUGAGUGCAGAAGGGGAGAGUGGACUUCCAUGUGUGGCGGUGAAAUGCGUGGAUAUAUGGAGGAACACCGGUGGCGAAAGCGGCUCUCUGGUCUGUAACUGACGCUGAGGCUCGAAAGCGUGGGGAGCAAACAGG
rnacentral:rRNA from 1 species